AUUGAACGCUGGCGGCAGGCCUAACACAUGCAAGUCGAACGGUAACAGGAAGAAGCUUGCUUCUUUGCUGACGAGUGGCGGACGGGUGAGUAAUGUCUGGGAAACUGCCUGAUGGAGGGGGAUAACUACUGGAAACGGUAGCUAAUACCGCAUAACGUCGCAAGACCAAAGAGGGGGACCUUCGGGCCUCUUGCCAUCGGAUGUGCCCCGAUGGGAUUAGCUAGUAGGUGGGGUAACGGCUCACCUAGGCGACGCUCCCUAGCUGGUCUGAGAGGAUGACCAGCCACACUGGAACUGGGACACGGUCCAGACUCCUACGGGAGGCAGCAGUGGGGAAUAUUGCACAAUGGGCGCAAGCCUGAUGCAGCCAUGCCGCGUGUAUGAAGAAGGCCUUCGGGUUGUAAAGUACUUUCAGCGGGGAGGAAGGGAGUAAAGUUAAUACCUUUGCUCAUUGACGUUACCCGCAGAAGAAGCACCGGCUAACUCCGU
rnacentral:rRNA from 1 species